UGAGUUCGAUGAGUAGGGCGGGACACGUGACAUCCUGUCUGAAUAUGGGGGGACCAUCCUCCAAGGCUAAAUACUCCUGACUGACCGAUAGUGAACCAGUACCGUGAGGGAAAGGCGAAAAGAACCCCGGCGAGGGGAGUGAAAUAGAACCUGAAACCGUGUACGUACAAGCAGUGGGAGCACCUUCGUGGUGUGACUGCGUACCUUUUGUAUAAUGGGUCAGCGACUUAUUUUCAGUGGCGAGCUUAACCGAAUAGGGGAGGCGUAGCGAAAGCGAGUCUUAAUAGGGCGUCUAGUCGCUGGGAAUAGACCCGAAACCGGGCGAUCUAUCCAUGGGCAGGUUGAAGGUUAGGUAACACUGACUGGAGGACCGAACCGACUACCGUUGAAAAGUUAGCGGAUGACCUGUGGAUCGGAGUGAAAGGCUAAUCAAGCUCGGAGAUAGCUGGUUCUCCUCGAAAGCUAUUUAGGUAGCGCCUCAUGUAUCACUGUAGGGGGUAGAGCACUGUUUCGGCUAGGGGGCCAUCCCGGCUUACCAAACCGAUGCAAACUCCGAAUACCGAAGAAUGUUAUCACGGGAGACACACGGCGGGUGCUAACGUCCGUCGUGAAGAGGGAAACAACCCAGACCGCCAGCUAAGGUCCCAAAGUCAUGGUUAAGUGGGAAACGAUGUGGGAAGGCAUAGACAGCCAGGAUGUUGGCUUAG
rnacentral:rRNA from 1 species